AUGACCAAGAGAAUAUGCAGGCUGGAAAACUCCACUCGGUAUCACUGAAGCAUCAAUUUUCAGGGCUUGGAGGUGCUUCUUUUCCCAGCCAGUCAAGCAUCACUGAUGGGAAAAUCACGUCAGUCCUGGUUGCCUUUGCUCCAGCCAAAACGUGGAUUUGAUCUGAACAUCUUUUAUUUUGAUCCUUCCUUUUGCUGCUGACUUGGAGCCUCACUGCUGCUCCCUGAGGGGAGAGAGAGGGCCCUGCUGCUUCUGGAAGGAAUUGGAAAAACGUCCCAUUGACAAACCAAAAGUAACCAAGGAGUACAUCCAAGAAGACCAUUCAUGAUUUAG